UACGAACCGAGCGAACGUUGUUCGGAAUCACUGGGCUUAAAGGGCGCGUAGGCGGGUGCUCAAGUCCGGGGUGAAAUCCUCCAGCUCAACUGGAGAACUGCCUCGGAUACUGGGUGCCUCGAGGGUGGUAGGGGUAUGCGGAACUAUCGGUGGAGCGGUGAAAUGCGUUGAUAUCGAUAGGAACACCGGUGGCGAAAGCGGCGUACUGGGUCUUAUCUGACGCUGAGGCACGAAAGCUAGGGUAGCGAACGGG
rnacentral:rRNA from 1 species